rnacentral:piRNA from 1 species
UCCCAUUUCAGGGAGUCACCAGGGUGCUU